UUUAUCUUGGUGUAUAUAGCACAUAAAAUUUUGAUUUUUACGGAAGAAAUCUAGAUAAAU
rnacentral:tRNA from 1 species